rnacentral:rRNA from 1 species
UACGUAGGGACCAAGCGUUGUUCGGAUUUACUGGGCGUAAAGGGCGCGUAGGCGGCAUGUUAAGUCAGCUGUGAAAUCUCCGAGCUUAACUCGGAACUGUCAGCUGAUACUGAUGUGCUAGAGUGCAGAAGGGGCAAUCGGAAUUCUUGGUGUAGCGGUGAAAUGCGUAGAUAUCAAGAGGAGCACCUGAGGUGAAGACGGGUUGCUGGGCUGACACUGACGCUGACAGCGCGAAAGCCAGGGGAGCAAACGGG